CACCUGUUGUUUCCUGACUUUUUAAUGAUCGCCAUUCUAACUGGUGUGAGAUGAUAUCUCAUUGUGGUUUUGAUUUGCAUUUCUCUGAUGGCCAGUGAUGAUGAGCAUUUUUUCAUGUGUCUGUUGGCUGCAUAAAUGAAUAGACUAAGAUUUCAGUGAUUGAGUCUCAUGGCAUGUGAUAAAGAGUUAGUGAUAAAGAUUUAAAUGGCACAUAACAUCAUCCCAAUUGAAUGCAUCGGGGGGUCAUGAUGCUGUGUGGGUUUGAAAUGGAAAUUACAAGCACAAUAUUACAGAAGUGUGGAUUUUAGUUACAAUGUCUCUAUGAGAAAGUCUAAAAGUUAAACAUAAGCAAAACAACAAAAACAUCUAAAUACCAGACACUAUCCUCAGAAAUUAGAUUUGAAAAAUGAGCUUCAUUUUCGAAGAACAUAUU
rnacentral:lncRNA from 1 species